GUAGUAGGCACUGCCCCGCCGUCCGCGCGCGCCCAGAGUGCCGGGCGUGGAGGUGUGGGGGCGCGGGGGCGCGGGGGCGCGGGGGCGCGGGGGGGCGGGGGCGGGGGGGCGCAGGGACGGGCGCGGUCAGUGCCUGAGAUCCCUGCGAUCGCUGGGAGAUGACGGUGAAGACCUGAGAUUUAGGCCUGCGCGGCGGGUGACGACGCCGGUCCGGGUCUUCACUGGAGGACGCUGGCCGGGGCCUUCAGGUGUUCUCGUGGCCUGAGGACGCGCGUCCCUGAGAAUGUGCGUGCCCGCGCCGCGCGGGUCCCACAGGAGCCUGGGCAGCCCCGCCGCCGCAUUUCCACCCUGCGGCCGUAUUUCCACCCGCUGGGCGCCAAGCCCGGGAUGACUGCACUCUAGGGCAUCACUGCGCGCUCACACUCAGCAUUCAGGCACAAGCACGUUCUCUUUAUAAACAGUUUCGAAUCUUGUCGAGUCUUUCUAGAAGGUUGAAAUGCCCUGGAGGAGCAGCGUGAAUAGUUUUUUCCAAUUAGGAAAAAAGAAUGUGGGGCGGCUGGAGGGAGAGAGGCAGGCCGAGAAGGCCAGGUGCGUCCAGGAGCCGCAGCCCCCGUGCCUCAGUUUCCUCCUAGAAACAUGGAGGUGGCGGUGCACGCUACAGGAUUUCUGUAAGAACAGAUGAGUUAACGUGUGCAAAACAUUUAAAACAGUGUCUGGUGUGUAGCAAGCAAAUAUGAGUAUUAGUCUUUUCCUUGUUAAAAUGUGUGCAUCUACAUUUGGUGCACAUUACAGGAAGUGUAUAGUAUGGAUUCAUAUUUUGGAAAAGUAAUUUUAGAAGUUAUUUCUGAUGUGCUUAUUGUAAUAGUGUUUCUUGACCACAUGCUUUUAGAUAAUGUGAAGGCAAUGAAGCAGGCAAUAUUGCUUGCACAUCCCCAAUUUAAACACCUGUCUGUCCCUCCUUCCCUCUCUCCUUUCUUUUCUUCCUUACCCUCUCUCUUUAUUCCUUCCUUCAUUCCCUUCAAGGUUGCGGAUUAUUCCAUUAUAUAAAUGUAUCAAUUUAUUAGAAUAGUUUCUAUGAUGUCUAUGAUGGGCUUUAGAUUGUUUGCAAUAGUUUGCCAUUACAAAUAAUGCCCAGUAGUGCUGUGGUUUGAUUUAACUUGUGAAGGUAUAUUUCCAAAUAAAUCGCUAUGAUUGGAUUGUUGUGUAAACCAA
rnacentral:lncRNA from 1 species